rnacentral:tRNA from 1 species
UUAAUUGAAGCCAAAUUAGAGGCAUAUCACUGUUAAUGAUAUAAUUGAAGAAUAUCUUCCAAUUAAG